GACGUAGGCGGCAGGCUCAACACAGCAAUCCGAGCGGAGAGGGGAGCUGCUCCUGUUCAGCGGCGGACGGUGAGUAAUGCUAGGAUCGCUGUAGUGGGGGACAACGUUUCGAAAGGAACGCUAAUACCGCAUACGUCCUACGGGAGAAAGCAGGGGACCUUCGGGCCUUGCGCUAUCAGUGAGCCUAGGUCGGAUUAGCUAGUUGGUGAGGUAAUGGCUCACCAAGGCUGCGAUCCGUAACUGGUCUGAGAGGAUGAUCAGUCACACUGGAACUGAGACACGGUCCAGACUCCUACGGGAGGCAGCAGUGGGGAAUAUUGGACAAUGGGCGAAAGCCUGAUCCAGCCAUGCCGCGUGUGUGAAGAAGGUCUUCGGAUUGUAAAGCACUUUAAGUUGGGAGGAAGGGCAGUAAGUUAAUACCUUGCUGUUUGACGUUACCGACAGAAUAAGCACCGGCUAACUUCGUGCCAGCAGCCGCGGUAAUACGAAGGGUGCAAGCGUUAAUCGGAAUUACUGGGCGUAAAGCGCGCGUAGGUGGUUUGUUAAGUUGGAAGUGAAAGCCCCGGGCUCAACCUGGGAACUGCUUUCAAAACUGGCAAGCUAGAGUAUGGCAGAGGGUGGUGGAAUUUCCUGUGUAGCGUGAAAUGCGUAGAUAUAGGAGGGAACACCAGUGGCGAAGGCGACCACCUGGGCUAAUACUGACACUGAGUGCGAAAGCGUGGGGAGCAACAGGAUUAUAUACCCUGUAGUCCACGCCGUAAACGAUGUCGACUAGCCGUUGGGAUCCUUGAGUCUAGUGGCGCAGCUAACGCAUUAAGUCGACCGGCUGGGGAUACGGCCGCAGGUUAAAACUCAGAUGAUUUGAC
rnacentral:rRNA from 1 species